rnacentral:piRNA from 1 species
UGGCAACUCACAACUAUGAUUCCUGUC